GGUUCUGUGGUGUAGUUGGUUAUCACUUCUGUCUAACAAGCUUCACAGCGAGUGCACAGGCGGUCCCCGGUUCGAACCCGGGCGGAAUCA